CACGUAGGGGGCAAGCGUUGUCCGGAUUUAUUGGGCGUAAAGAGCUCGUAGGUGGUUCGGUAAGUCGGGUGUUAAACCCCCAGGCUCAACCUGGGGACGCCACUCGAUACUGCUGUGACUAGAGUCCGGUAGGGGAGCGUGGAAUUCCUGGUGUAGCGGUGAAAUGCGCAGAUAUCAGGAGGAACACCGAUUGCGAAGGCAGCUCGCUGGGACGUGACUGACGCUGAGACGCGAAAGCGUGGGGAGCAAACAGG
rnacentral:rRNA from 1 species